rnacentral:rRNA from 1 species
GAUGAACGCUGGCGGUAUGCUUAACACAUGCAAGUCGAACGGACUCUUCGGAGUUAGUGGCGGACGGGUGAAUAACGCGUGAGAAUCUGGCUUUGGGUUCGGGACAACCACUGGAAACGGUGGCUAAUACCGGAUGUGCCGAGAGGUAAAAGAGAAAUUGCCUGAGGAUGAGCUCGCGUCUGAUUAGCUAGUUGGUGAGGUAAAGGCUCACCAAGGCAGCGAUCAGUAGCUGGUCUGAGAGGAUGACCAGCCACACUGGGACUGAGACACGGCCCAGACUCCUACGGGAGGCAGCAGUGGGGAAUUUUCCGCAAUGGGCGAAAGCCUGACGGAGCAAUACCGCGUGAGGGAAGAAGGCUCUUGGGUUGUAAACCUCUUUUCUUAGGGAAGAACAAAAUGACGGUACCUAAGGAAUCAGCAUCGGCUAACUCCGUG